rnacentral:rRNA from 1 species
AUGCACCCCUUCUUCCUCCUCCUCCUCACUUUGUUGAUUCCCCAUGAAAUCGUCUCCGGCACAACAGCCGCCACCUUGUGUAACCGCUGGUGCGGCGACACCACCGUCCCCUACACCUUCGGCUUCUCCGACGGCUGCCCCAUCGCCCUGUCAUGCGACGCCGACACCUCCACGCCGACCCUCUCGUACACAGGAGGCAGCGGCACGUCGUACCGCGUUGUCUCCUUCAACUCCACCAUCUCCACCGUCAUGGUCAGCCUCCCUGUGUCGUGCAUCCGCAGCGUCCCCGAUGUCAGGAGGGCGCUCUCGGGCGCCAAUUACGGCGUCUCCGCGCGCACCAUGCUCUCCGUCCGAGGGUGCCACAACGCGUCGGCAUCCAGCUGUAUCAUACCCGCGGGCGUCAUUUCGAGGCUGCUCGACACGGCGCGGUGCGACGGCAGCGAUGCCUCCGUGAAGUGUGUCGCCUCCGUUGCGCCGAACGCCUCCGCCGGGUUGGCGUACAGGCAGUUCCUGCGGUGGGAAAACGUAGAGAGGGCCAACUGCGAUGACGUGCUGGCGUCGGGGGUGUGUCUGGACAUGGUGGAUGGGGUGCUGUCGCUGGCCAACGAGGUGGCGGAGCUGGCGUGGUGGCUCAACGGCACGUGCGUCGUCGGCGGCGGGGGUUGCGCGGCGAACGCGACGUGCUCCUAUGUAAAUACGCCGAGCGGGUCGGUGGGGCGGUGCACGUGCGUGGCAGGGAUGAACGGCGACGGGUUCUUGGCUGGAGACCGAUGCUACGUCGCCUUUAGUACCGGUUGGUGCCACGAACCGGUACUAAAGGUGCUGGAGGGCCCCAGACUGACAACAUCCUGCCACCACUCUCUUUAGUACCGGUUCGUGGCACGAACCGGUGCUAAAGGUUCGCCACAAACCGGUACUAAUGAGAGCGGCCGGCUAGCCGUUGGAACCGGCACUAAUGGACACAUUAGUGCCGGCUCAGAAUCAAACCAGCACUAUUGUGUCUCAGAUUUGACCCUUUUUCUACUAGUGGUCUUACAACAAUUAAUAUAUAUGCAAUUCCUCACUUCUCUUUGAUACUUUUAACAUUUCAGAUAUGAUAUAGUGCUCGGUGUAGGUUCGGCGCUUCUAUACCUGCACCAAGAGACGGAGCAACGCGUGGUGCACAGGGACAUCAAGCCUAGCAACAUCAUGCUAGACGCCUCCUUCAUCGCCAAACUCGGUGACUUUGGGCUCGCGAGGCUCAUCAAUGAUGGCCGGAAAUCGCACACUACCGCUCUAGUCCAGGAAGACGGUGACGUCGUCCACCUGGUGCAGUGGGUGUGGGACUUGUACGGCAAAGGAUCAAUUCUAGAUGCCGCCGACGAGCGACUUAAGGGGGAGUUUGACAGCACGGAGAUGGAGCGUGUUAUGGUCGUGGGGCUCUGGUGCGCGCACCCUGACCGUGCGAUGCGGCCAUCCAUCAGGCAAGCGUUGAACGUGCUGCGGUCCGAAGCGCCAUUACCAAGCCUCCCGGAUAGGAUGCCGGUAGCGACCUAUGGGCCACCGACUAAUCAUUCGAGUUCCGGAACUUUGGCGCUGAGCAGCGUCAGUGGCCGGUGA